rnacentral:rRNA from 1 species
GCCUAGCCGUAAACAAUCUAUUUACACAUUAUAACGCCCGGGUAUUACGAGCAAUGCUUAAAACCCAAAGGACUUGACGGUGUCCCACCCACCUAGAGGAGCCUGUUCUAUAAUCGAUAACCCCCGCUUUACCUAACCAUUCUUUGCCUAAUCAGUCUGUAUACCUCCGUCGGAAGCUUACCAUAUGAACGCCCACAGUAAGCCCAAUGGCCACCCGCCAAUACGUCAGGUCAAGGUGCAACUUAUAGGAUGGAAAGAAAUGGGCUACAAUUUCUAAAAUAGAAUAAACGAAAGACUGCCUGAAACCCAGUCAUGAAGGAGGAUCUAGUAGUAAAAAGGGAACAGAGAGCCCUUUUUAACCCGGCACUGGGACGCGUACACACCGCCCGUCACCCUCUUUCAAUAGUUCUUUAUCUCAGUUAUUAACAAAUUAAACACGCCUU